GAUGAACGCUGGCGGCGUGCCUAAUACAUGCAAGUCGAGCGAACAGACGAGGAGCUUGCUCCUCUGACGUUAGCGGCGGACGGGUGAGUAACACGUGGAUAACCUACCUAUAAGACUGGGAUAACUUCGGGAAACCGGAGCUAAUACCGGAUAAUAUAUUGAACCGCAUGGUUCAAUAGUGAAAGACGGUUUUGCUGUCACUUAUAGAUGGAUCCGCGCCGCAUUAGCUAGUUGGUAAGGUAACGGCUUACCAAGGCAACGAUGCGUAGCCGACCUGAGAGGGUGAUCGGCCACACUGGAACUGAGACACGGUCCAGACUCCUACGGGAGGCAGCAGUAGGGAAUCUUCCGCAAUGGGCGAAAGCCUGACGGAGCAACGCCGCGUGAGUGAUGAAGGUCUUCGGAUCGUAAAACUCUGUUAUUAGGGAAGAACAAAUGUGUAAGUAACUAUGAACGUCUUGACGGUACCUAAUCAGAAAGCCACGGCUAACUACGUG
rnacentral:rRNA from 1 species